rnacentral:rRNA from 1 species
UACGUAGGGGGCGAGCGUUGUCCGGAUUUACUGGGCGUAAAGAGCUCGUAGGCGGUUAAAUAAGUCGGGUGUGAAACCCCCAGGCUCAACCUGGGAACGCCACUCGAUACUGUUUUGACUAGAGGCCGGUAGGGGACCAUGGAAUUCCUGGUGUAGCGGUGAAAUGCGCAGAUAUCAGGAGGAACACCAGUAGCGAAGGCGGUGGUCUGGGCCGGUACUGACGCUGAGGAGCGAAAGCGUGGGGAGCGAACAGG